rnacentral:rRNA from 1 species
AUUGAACGCUGGCGGCAGGCUCAACACAUGCAAGUCGAGCGGGGUGAUGGUGCUUGCACUAUCACUUAGCGGCGGACGGGUGAGUAAUGCUUAGGAAUCUGCCUAUUAGUGGGGGACAACAUCUCGAAAGGGAUGCUAAUACCGCAUACGUCCUACGGGGGAAAGCAGGGGAUCACUUGUGACCUUGCGUUAAUAGAUGAGCCUAAGUCGGAUUAGCUAGUUGGUGGGGUAAAGGCCUACCAAGGCGACGAUCUGUAGCGGGUCUGAGAGGAUGAUCCGCCACACUGGGACUGAGACACGGCCCAGACUCCUACGGGAGGCAGCAGUGGGGAAUAUUGGACAAUGGGGGGAACCCUGAUCCAGCCAUGCCGCGUGUGUGAAGAAGGCCUUAUGGUUGUAAAGCACUUUAAGCGAGGAGGAGGCUCUUUUGGUUAAUACCCAAGAUGAGUGGACGUUACUCGCAGAAUAAGCACCGGCUAACUCUGUGCCAGCAGCCGCAGUAACAC